rnacentral:ncRNA from 1 species
AUCCUAUUGCUUGUUACUUGGGAGAAGAGACCGACAAGAGGAAACUCUGAUGGAGGUCCGUAGCGGUCCUGACGUGCAAAUCGGUCGUCCAACCCGAGUCUAGGGGCAGAAGGCUAAUCAAACCAUCUAGUAGCUGG